rnacentral:rRNA from 1 species
UGGGGAAUUUUGGACAAUGGGCGCAAGCCUGAUCCAGCCAUGCCGCGUGCAGGAUGAAGGCCUUCGGGUUGUAAACUGCUUUUGUACGGAACGAAAAGGUGCCUUCUAAUAAAGGGCGCUCAUGACGGUACCGUAAGAAUAAGCACCGGCUAACUACGUGCCAGCAGCCGCGGUAAUACGUAGGGUGCGAGCGUUAAUCGGAAUUACUGGGCGUAAAGCGUGCGCAGGCGGUUUUGUAAGACAGAGGUGAAAUCCCCGGGCUCAACCUGGGAACUGCCUUUGUGACUGCAAGCCUGGAGUGCGGCAGAGGGGGAUGGAAUUCCGCGUGUAGCAGUGAAAUGCGUAGAUAUGCGGAGGAACACCGAUGGCGAAGGCAAUCCCCUGGGCCUGCACUGACGCUCAUGCACGAAAGCGUGGGGAGCAAACA